rnacentral:rRNA from 1 species
UACAGAGGGUGCGAGCGUUAAUCGGAAUUACUGGGCGUAAAGGGCUCGUAGGUGGCCAACUAAGUCAGACGUGAAAUCCCUCAGCUUAACUGGGGAACUGCGUCUGAUACUGGAUGGCUUGAGUUUGGGAGAGGGAUGCGGAAUUCCAGGUGUAGCGGUGAAAUGCGUAGAUAUCUGGAGGAACACCGGUGGCGAAGGCGGCAUCCUGGACCAAUAUUGACGCUGAGGAGCGAAAGCCAGGGGAGCAAACGGG